rnacentral:lncRNA from 10 species
GGAGACCGAAUUCCGGCGCCGCCGCCGCGGCCGCUGCUCGGUGCACUAGCCCCCUUCCUUCCCAUCCUUUCUGCGAGCGGGUUUGCUGGGCAGCCGGGCGACCGCCGAACGGAAAGCAAGAUCCUCGCCGCCUCCGCUUGAGGAGGCGUGCGGCGCGCGGAGAUUUUGAGUGGGAGCGACGGUGCCCGAGAGCUCAGGGGCGCGGAGUUCGUGAGCGAGAAGGAAGUUAAACCUCGCGGAAUAGACUGGCAUUUCGGGACGCCUUGUCGCCGCAGCCUGGGCCCUGCAACGGGGUAAACUUCAUGGUGGCCCUGCGAUCUGGGGAGGGGCGUGCGCCACGGUGAUGCCGGGCAUCUCCCGCAGCUCGUGAGCGGCCCCGCUCCCCGCUGCCCCGGGUCCCACUCAGUCGCCAGGGAGAGCGCGGGGCAGCGCACGUGUGCGGCCAGCGAGGCCCAGAGUGACCGCGCCGCGACUCGCAGGAGCCAGGGCGCAGGCUGCAGUGCAGCCCGGACUCAGACGC